rnacentral:rRNA from 1 species
UACGUAGGGACCGAGCGUUGUCCGGAUUCAUUGGGCGUAAAGAGCUCGUAGGCGGCCACUCAAGUCGAAUGUGAAACCUCGAGGCUCAACCUCGAGCCUGCAUUCGAUACUGGGCGGCUAGAGUCUGGUAGGGGGAUCUGGAAUUCCUGGUGUAGCGGUGGAAUGCGCAGAUAUCAGGAAGAACACCAAUGGCGAAGGCAGCUCUCUGGGACGGUACUGACGCUGAGACGCGAAAGCGUGGGGAGCGAACAGG